rnacentral:rRNA from 1 species
AUGGAUCGUCAUUCAACUCCUACACGAAGCGACCUGGAGUGCAUGCUACGUGAUGAAAAGGCAGAACCGAAGGCCCUGCCAUUAUCACUCCUGGAAGAUAUCACUAAUGGAUUUUCUGAGGAGCGGGAAAUUGGCAGUGGUGGAUUUGCAGUGGUCUAUAAGGGAAUGCUUGAGAAUGGGGCGGCCGUUGCGGUGAAGAGGAUAUCCAUACCAUUUAUGUUUGAGAAAGAAUUCCACCGAGAGGUUGAAUGUCUGAUAAAGGCAAGUCACCAAAAUGUGAUACGAUUUAUUGGAUAUUGUGCUGACUCACAAGGGAAAGCUGAAAGCUAUGAUGGAAAAUUUGUGAUGGCAGAUGUACAACAAAGAUUACUCUGCUUUGAAUAUCUACCCCACGGAACUCUCGAUAAGUAUAUCACUGAUGUAUCUUGUGGACUUGACUGGAGAAAACGUUACAGGAUAAUCAAUGGGAUUUGCAAGGGAUUACACUACCUCCAUGAAAAUCGAAUUCUUCACCUGGAUCUUAAACCUCCAAACAUUUUGUUGGAUCAUAAUAUGCUACCAAAAAUUGCUGAUUUUGGUUUAUCAAGACGCUUUGAUGAAAAGCAAAGCCGGGCUAUUACUGCGAAUAUGUGUGGAACAUUUGGAUAUUUGGCACCAGAAUUCGUUAAUGGUGUAAUCACGUACCGGUUUGAUCUGUACAGUCUUGGUGUGAUAAUUAUAGAGAUACUCACCGGAAAGAAGGGGUACCACGAUGUUGAUGAUGUAAGAACAGUUUGA